CCAUAAGAUACACAUGGGUGAGCCGGCCAAAGUCAGGCUCAUAUGCAACUGUGUGGAUUCUAGUACUCGCUAAAAAAUUAAAGUAAUUCUUCGAAUUGAAGGUAGAGGCUACCAAUUUGUAUAAAAUAAUGAAAGCAUUUUUAGUCUAAAAUCUAAAUCUUUAGGCUUAAAAUAGUUUAUAUACUAAUAGAUUAAUUAUUUUCUUUUCAGAAAUGACUAGAAAAUUGUCGCUCUGUUCACUAUUAGACAGUGACAAUAUUAUCGGACCUAACUUCGAUAGCCAAUAUCAUAAGUUGAAUAUAGUUUUUAAGCUGAA
rnacentral:lncRNA from 1 species